rnacentral:lncRNA from 1 species
AUGAUUUUCUUCAAUUUUUCCAGAAGUCUUUUGGAAACUUUUACCCAUAGUGUAAAGAAAUCUGCACAUACCAAAAUGAGCAGUGAUGCUGAUUUAAAAAUAAAAACUUGCAAUAUUGCACCCUUCAAGGUGUUCUCAAUCAGUGUCUUGCCUCGCUUCUCUGAUGUGCAAAUGAAGCUCGUCCAGUAUGUGUUACUCAAGAAAGAAUUAAGAAAAUUGAAGUCAGAAUAUCUGAACUUGGAUCACUUGCAAAUAAGGAAGAUCUGCAUGCACGUGUUCUUUAAAGAUAAUGUUGAACGGAUCCAGAAACUGUUUUGGUAG